GACGAACGCUGGCGGCGUGCUUAACACAUGCAAGUCGAACGGAAAGGCGCUGCGCUUGUUUCUUUCUCGAUUGCCGAACGCGUGAGUAACACGUGAGUAACCUGCCCUUGUCUUUCGGGUAACUUCUCGAAACUGCGGCUCUUACCGCAGAUGAUCUCUUGCUGCGUGGUGUGGGUUGGUGAGUGUCGGCGGUUGUGGAUGUACUCGCGGGUUAUCCGCUUGUUUGGGGGGUAGUUGCUUACCAAGGCUUUGACGGCUAGCCGGCAUGAGAGGGGGACCGGCCACAUUGGGACUGAGAUAGGGCGCAGAAGCGUACGGGAGGCAGCAGGGGGGAAUAUUGCACAAUGGGCGGAAGCCUGAUGCAGCAACGCCGCGUGCGGGAUGACGGCUUUCGGGUUGUAAACCGCUUUCGCCUGUGACGAAGCGUGAGUGACGGUAAUGGGUAAAGAAGCACCGGCUAACUACGUG
rnacentral:rRNA from 1 species